GACGAACGCUGGCGGCGUGCCUAAUACAUGCAAGUAGAACGCACAGUUUAUACCGUAGCUUGCUCCACCAUAAACUGUGAGUUGCGAACGGGUGAGUAACGCGUAGGUAACCUGCCUGGUAGCGGGGGAUAACUAUUGGAAACGAUAGCUAAUACCGCAUAAUAUUGAUUAUUGCAUGAUAGUUGAUUGAAAGAUGCUAUUGCAUCACUACCAGAUGGACCUGCGUUGUAUUAGCUAGUAGGUGAGGUAACGGCUCACCUAGGCGACGAUACAUAGCCGACCUGAGAGGGUGAUCGGCCACACUGGGACUGAGACACGGCCCAGACUCCUACGGGAGGCAGCAGUAGGGAAUCUUCGGCAAUGGACGAAAGUCUGACCGAGCAACGCCGCGUGAGUGAAGAAGGUUUUCGGAUCGUAAAGCUCUGUUGUAAGAGAAGAACGGGUGUGAGAGUGGAAAGUUCACACUGUGACGGUAUCUUACCAGAAAGGGACGGCUAACUACGUG
rnacentral:rRNA from 1 species